CACGCUCUGCGAUUACAGAAAGCAACUCCUGCUCCAUGUCCAUAAAUAGCCGCAGAUAUUCUGUGCUAAGGUAGCAUAAUCACUUGCCUUUUAAUUGAAGGAUCGUAUGAAAGGAUCAAUGACUUUUUCCAUUUAUUCUAUGCUUCUAAUGAAAUUCACUUAUAAGUAAAAAGGCUUAUAAGCCAAGGAAGGACGACAAGACCCUAUAGAACUUUACAAGCUGUUAAACUGGGGCGGUUCAUAACAAAAGCUUAAUUACAAUUCACUAACCAAGACCUAAUACCAUUAACCACAGGAACAAGUUACCUUAGGGAUAACAGAGGAAUUUCCUUUCAGAUGAUCUUUAAAAGAAAGAUUCCGACCUCGAUGUUGAAUUAAUAUAACUUCAUAAUAAAACGUUAUCUAAGUUGGUCUGUUCGACCAUUUAAAUAUUACA
rnacentral:rRNA from 1 species